GGGUUGUGAGGUUAAGCGACUAAGCGUACACGGUGGAUGCCCUGGCAGUCAGAGGCGAUGAAGGACGUGCUAAUCUGCGAUAAGCGUCGGUAAGGUGAUAUGAACCGUUAUAACCGGCGAUUUCCGAAUGGGGAAACCCAGUGUGAUUCGUCACACUAUCAUUAACUGAAUCCAUAGGUUAAUGAGGCGAACCGGGGGAACUGAAACAUCUAAGUACCCCGAGGAAAAGAAAUCAACCGAGAUUCCCCCAGUAGCGGCGAGCGAACGGGGAGGAGCCCAGAGCCUGAAUCAGUGUGUGUGUUAGUGGAAGCGUCUGGAAAGGCGCGCGAUACAGGGUGACAGCCCCGUACACAAAAAUGCACAUGCUGUGAGCUCGAUGAGUAGGGCGGGACACGUGGUAUCCUGUCUGAAUAUGGGGGGACCAUCCUCCAAGGCUAAAUACUCCUGACUGACCGAUAGUGAACCAGUACCGUGAGGGAAAGGCGAAAAGAACCCCGGCGAGGGGAGUGAAAAAGAACCUGAAACCGUGUACGUACAAGCAGUGGGAGCCUCUUAAUGGGGUGACUGCGUACCUUUUGUAUAAUGGGUCAGCGACUUAUAUUCUGUAGCAAGGUUAACCGAAUAGGGGAGCCGAAGGGAAACCGAGUCUUAACUGGGCGUUAAGUUGCAGGGUAUAGACCCGAAACCCGGUGAUCUAGCCAUGGGCAGGUUGAAGGUUGGGUAACACUAACUGGAGGACCGAACCGACUAAUGUUGAAAAAUUAGCGGAUGACUUGUGGCUGGGGGUGAAAGGCCAAUCAAACCGGGAGAUAGCUGGUUCUCCCCGAAAGCUAUUUAGGUAGCGCCUCGUGAAUUCAUCUCCGGGGGUAGAGCACUGUUUCGGCAAGGGGGUCAUCCCGACUUACCAACCCGAUGCAAACUGCGAAUACCGGAGAAUGUUAUCACGGGAGACACACGGCGGGUGCUAACGUCCGUCGUGAAGAGGGAAACAACCCAGACCGCCAGCUAAGGUCCCAAAGUCAUGGUUAAGUGGGAAACGAUGUGGGAAGGCCCAGACAGCCAGGAUGUUGGCUUAGAAGCAGCCAUCAUUUAAAGAAAGCGUAAUAGCUCACUGGUCGAGUCGGCCUGCGCGGAAGAUGUAACGGGGCUAAACCAUGCACCGAAGCUGCGGCAGCGACACUAUGUGUUGUUGGGUAGGGGAGCGUUCUGUAAGCCUGUGAAGGUGGCCUGUGAGGGUUGCUGGAGGUAUCAGAAGUGCGAAUGCUGACAUAAGUAACGAUAAAGCGGGUGAAAAGCCCGCUCGCCGGAAGACCAAGGGUUCCUGUCCAACGUUAAUCGGGGCAGGGUGAGUCGACCCCUAAGGCGAGGCCGAAAGGCGUAGUCGAUGGGAAACAGGUUAAUAUUCCUGUACUUGGUGUUACUGCGAAGGGGGGACGGAGAAGGCUAUGUUGGCCGGGCGACGGUUGUCCCGGUUUAAGCGUGUAGGCUGGUUUUCCAGGCAAAUCCGGAAAACCAAGGCUGAGGCGUGAUGACGAGGCACUACGGUGCUGAAGUGACAAAUGCCCUGCUUCCAGGAAAAGCCUCUAAGCAUCAGGUAACAUCAAAUCGUACCCCAAACCGACACAGGUGGUCAGGUAGAGAAUACCAAGGCGCUUGAGAGAACUCGGGUGAAGGAACUAGGCAAAAUGGUGCCGUAACUUCGGGAGAAGGCACGCUGAUAUGUAGGUGAAGCGACUUGCUCGUGGAGCUGAAAUCAGUCGAAGAUACCAGCUGGCUGCAACUGUUUAUUAAAAACACAGCACUGUGCAAACACGAAAGUGGACGUAUACGGUGUGACGCCUGCCCGGUGCCGGAAGGUUAAUUGAUGGGGUUAGCGGUAACGCGAAGCUCUUGAUCGAAGCCCCGGUAAACGGCGGCCGUAACUAUAACGGUCCUAAGGUAGCGAAAUUCCUUGUCGGGUAAGUUCCGACCUGCACGAAUGGCGUAAUGAUGGCCAGGCUGUCUCCACCCGAGACUCAGUGAAAUUGAACUCGCUGUGAAGAUGCAGUGUACCCGCGGCAAGACGGAAAGACCCCGUGAACCUUUACUAUAGCUUGACACUGAACAUUGAGCCUUGAUGUGUAGGAUAGGUGGGAGGCUUUGAAGUGUGGACGCCAGUCUGCAUGGAGCCGACCUUGAAAUACCACCCUUUAAUGUUUGAUGUUCUAACGUUGGCCCCUAAUCGGGGUUGCGGACAGUGUCUGGUGGGUAGUUUGACUGGGGCGGUCUCCUCCUAAAGAGUAACGGAGGAGCACGAAGGUUGGCUAAUCCUGGUCGGACAUCAGGAGGUUAGUGCAAUGGCAUAAGCCAGCUUGACUGCGAGCGUGACGGCGCGAGCAGGUGCGAAAGCAGGUCAUAGUGAUCCGGUGGUUCUGAAUGGAAGGGCCAUCGCUCAACGGAUAAAAGGUACUCCGGGGAUAACAGGCUGAUACCGCCCAAGAGUUCAUAUCGACGGCGGUGUUUGGCACCUCGAUGUCGGCUCAUCACAUCCUGGGGCUGAAGUAGGUCCCAAGGGUAUGGCUGUUCGCCAUUUAAAGUGGUACGCGAGCUGGGUUUAGAACGUCGUGAGACAGUUCGGUCCCUAUCUGCCGUGGGCGCUGGAGAACUGAGGGGGGCUGCUCCUAGUACGAGAGGACCGGAGUGGACGCAUCACUGGUGUUCGGGUUGUCAUGCCAAUGGCACUGCCCGGUAGCUAAAUGCGGAAGAGAUAAGUGCUGAAAGCAUCUAAGCACGAAACUUGCCCCGAGAUGAGUUCUCCCUGAGACUUAGAGUCUCCUGAAGGAACGUUGAAGACGACGACGUUGAUAGGCCGGGUGUGUAAGCGCAGCGAUGCGUUGAGCUAACCGGUACUAAUGAACCGUGAGGCUUAACCUUACAACGCCGAAG
rnacentral:rRNA from 1 species